rnacentral:rRNA from 1 species
UACGUAGGGUGCGAGCGUUAAUCGGAAUUACUGGGCGUAAAGCGUGCGCAGGCGGUCUCGCAAGUCCGAUGUGAAAUCCCGCAGCUCAACUGCGGAACUGCAUCGGAUACUCUCCGGCUAGAGGAAUGGAGGGGAGACUGGAAUUCUCGGUGUAGCAGUGAAAUGCGUAGAUAUCGAGAGGAACACCAGUGGCGAAGGCGAGUCUCUGGACAUUUCCUAACGCUGAGGCACGAAAGCCAGGGGAGCAAACGGG